rnacentral:rRNA from 1 species
UACGUAGGGACCGAGCGUUGUCCGGAAUCAUUGGGCGUAAAGAGCGUGUAGGCGGCCUUUUAAGUCCUGCGUGAAAUCCUGCGGCUCAACCGCAGACGGUCGUGGGAAACUGGAAGGCUAGAGUGCGGGAGAGGAGAGUGGAAUUCCCGGUGUAGCGGUGAAAUGCGCAGAUAUCGGGAAGAACACCCGUGGCGAAGGCGGCUCUCUGGAACGCAACUGACGCUGAGACGCGGAAAGCGUGGGGAGCAAACAGGG